rnacentral:rRNA from 1 species
CAGUCGCCGCGGUAAUACGAAGGGGGCUAGCGUUGUUCGGAAUCACUGGGCGUAAAGCGCUCGUAGGCGGAUACUUAAGUCAGGGGUGAAAUCCCGGGGCUCAACCUCGGAACUGCCUUUGAUACUGGGUAUCUUGAGUCCGGGAGAGGUUGGUGGAACUCCGAGUGUAGAGGUGAAAUUCGUAGAUAUUCGGAAGAACACCUGUGGCGAAGGCGGCCAACUGGCCCGGUACUGACGCUGAGGUGCGAAAGCGUGGGGAGCAAACAGGAUUAGAUACCCCCGUAGUCCCUGUCUCUUAUAC